rnacentral:misc_RNA from 1 species
AAGUCGUAACAAGGUUUCCGUAGGUGAACCUGCGGAAGGAUCAUUAUUGAAAUAAACCUGAUGAGUUGCUGCUGGUUCUCUAGGGAGCAUGUGCACACUUGUCAUCUUUAUAUCUCCACCUGUGCACCUUUUGUAGACCUGGAUAUCUCUCUGAAUGCUUGGCCACUCAGGUUUGAGGAUUGACUUUAUGUCUCUCCUUGCAUUUCCAGGCCUAUGUUUCUUUAUAUACCCAAUGUAUGUCAUAGAAUGUAAUCAAUGGGCCUUUGUGCCUAUAAACCUAUACAACUUUCAGCAACGGAUCUCUUGGCUCUC